rnacentral:rRNA from 1 species
UCCCAGACUCCUACGGGAGGCAGCAGUGGGGAAUAUUGCACAAUGGGGGAAACCCUGAUGCAGCGACGCCGCGUGAGUGAAGAAGUAUUUCGGUAUGUAAAGCUCUAUCAGCAGGGAAGAAAAUGACGGUACCUGAUUAAGAAGCCCCGGCUAACUACGUGCCAGCAGCCGCGGUAAUACGUAGGGGGCAAGCGUUAUCCGGAUUUACUGGGUGUAAAGGGAGCGUAGACGGCAGCGCAAGUCUGAAGUGAAAACCCAGGGCUCAACCCUGGGACUGCUUUGGAAACUGUUUUGCUAGAGUGUCGGAGAGGUAAGUGGAAUUCCUGGUGUAGCGGUGAAAUGCGUAGAUAUUAGGAGGAACACCAGUGGCGAAGGCGGCUUACUGGACGAUAACUGACGUUGAGGCUCGAAAGCGUGGGGAGCAAACAGGAGUAGAUCCCCGAGUA